UACAGAGGUCUCAAGCGUUGUUCGGAUUCAUUGGGCGUAAAGGGUGCGUAGGUGGCGCGAUAAGUCGGGUGUGAAAUCUCGGAGCUAACUCCGAAAUUGCAUUCGAUACUGCCGUGCUCGAGGACUGGAGAGGAGACUGGAAUUCAUGGUGUAGCAGGUGAAAUGCGUAGAGAUCAUGAGGAAGACCAGUGGCGAAGGCGGGUCUCUGGACAGUUCCUGACACUGAGGCACGAAGGCCAGGGGAGCAAACGGG
rnacentral:rRNA from 1 species